rnacentral:ribozyme from 1 species
GCAAAAAAAAACAGAGAACGAUACACGAAACAAUCUCCACCACCACCACCCAAGCGAAAAGAAAAGAAAAGAGAUGAUGUUUGUUCCUUUCGUUUCUUUUGUUUUAUUCUCUUCUUCUCUUUUCUUUUUGAAUUGGAAAAGGAGCAAAGGAAAAGAAGAAAACAAACCCAAAAGUAUCAAUCGCUUCCGUGUCGUCGCAGAAAGUAAAUAUAAAAUCAAAUGUUUCUUUCUUUCUAUUAU